rnacentral:lncRNA from 1 species
UGACUGAGCGAACUCCUCUCCACCGUCGUCAUCCAGUAUAUCAAUAACCAACAUAAGCUCCCCUUUGUAAAAAUCCUUAUUCACAUCAAACUUCCAUUCAUUAAGGGGGAUGCUGUAUAAGUAUGCGGCUUGAUCCAAAGCCUUGUUGAAGCCGAGCUCAUGUUUGUGGAGAACAAAAUCUUGCGUGCGACGAAGGUCUUCACCCUCCUUGCGCAAGAACGCCUGCAACUGCUCGAUCUUCUUUUGUUCAGAAUGAGAGUGAAC